rnacentral:rRNA from 1 species
ACCAACAGGAUAGAUACCCGGUAGUCCACCCCUAAACGAUGUCUACUAGUGUUGGGGAGGGAGCCUCCCUUGUGACGCAGCUAACGCGUGAAGUAGACCGCCUGGGGAGUACGGUCGCAAGAUUAAAACUCAAAGGAAUUGACGGGGGCCCGCACAAGCGGUGGAUUAUGUGGAUUAAUUCGAUGCAACGCGAAAAACCUUACCUGGCCUUGACAUGCCACUAACGAAGCAGAGAUGCAUCAGGUGCUCGAAAGAGAAAGUGGACACAGGUGCUGCAUGGCUGUCGUCAGCUCGUG